rnacentral:lncRNA from 1 species
AUGGGAUUUUCUCCUUUUUCAGAUCCAGAUUUUAAGUCUCCCCUUCUUCUAAAUAAUUUGUGUUUUGGAAACACAACAUGGAGAUGCAAUUCCCUGACUUGUGAGCAUUGCCAUCAUUUCCAGAAGCUGCUGCCAGGAGCUCUCUGCAUCUGUGGGUCACACGAGUGGCACAGAGGAGGUGUCAGAUCCUGCUGCCAUUGCAGGGCUGCUGGCAGGGAACAGCUGGGCUGCUUUUACCAAUCAAAGUCCCAGAUUCGUAGGGAAAAGACUCCAUUUUAUCCCCGCAGGGCCACCAUGAGCCACAAGUCGGUGCCUGAGGAGGAGAGGAACGCUCUGGGCAUCACUGACACCUUGAUCCGCCUCUCGGUGGGGCUGGAGGACGAGGAGGAUUUGCUCCAAGACCUGGAGCAGGCCCUGAAGGCUGCGUUUGAAUAAACCCUGAGGGUCUAAAAGGAGCUCGGAACUGGACGUGGCUGUGGACAAGGACAUGGAAACCAAACCUCUCCUGCUCUGCCUUUGCUUUGCCAGCAGAGCUCAGUGUUUCUCCUGCUGCUGCAGGGCUCGGGGUAUGUGGGCUUCCUUUUUACUACUCCCAGGUAAUCUCAGUCAUAAGUUACUACUCUCAUGUCUUCUCACCCAUCAGCUCAGCUCAAAAACUUGAUUGACCUCAGAUUUAUUUUAAUUUGGUUGGAGAUUUGCAUAAAAGCUUUUCCUUCUCUUGAAGUUUUAUGUAACAUUGAAGAUAAAGGGAAAUCCAACACUUGGCAAAUAAUAACUUUCGAAAUAAGAAUCUCUGUAAUUUGAAAAAAAUCAUGUGCUGUGGGAAUUAUUGGAAUAAUUUUAAUUAAAACUCUCUUUUCCUUUCUUUGCUUAUAUUCCCAUUUGCACGUGCUCCUGGUGUUCAGAAUCAGGGGAUGGAGUGACCCUGGAGCUGUUGGAAUGUUCCCGUGGGAAGGUGGAGGGGAUGGAGCUGAAGAGACAGAGGGGACGGAGCUGAGUCAGGACAAUUCUGUAUUGGCCACACCCAGAACAGCCUUCACUGCACAGAGGGAUUCAAUCCUGACACAGCCCAAGUGAAGGUGUUCCCACCCAAACCUCAUCAUUCCACAGAAUCCCAGCCUGGUUUGGCUUGGAAUGCACCUCAAAGCCCACUGGACACCGCUGGGCAGGGACAGCUCGUUGUCCCUCAGGACCCCCCCCCCCCCCCCCCCCCCCCCCCCCCCCCCCCCCCCCCCCCCCCCCCCCCCCCCCCCCCCCCCCCCCCCCCCCCCCCCCCCCCC